rnacentral:rRNA from 1 species
UGCAGUCGAGCGGAACGAUCCUAGCUUGCUAGGAGGCGUCGAGCGGCGGACGGGUGAGUAAUGCAUAGGAAUCUGCCCGGUAGUGGGGGAUAACCUGGGGAAACCCAGGCUAAUACCGCAUACGCCCUACGGGGGAAAGCAGGGGAUCUUCGGACCUUGCGCUAUCGGAUGAGCCUAUGUCGGAUUAGCUAGUUGGUGAGGUAACGGCUCACCAAGGCUGCGAUCCGUAGCUGGUCUGAGAGGAUGAUCAGCCACAUCGGGACUGAGACACGGCCCGAACUCCUACGGGAGGCAGCAGUGGGGAAUAUUGGACAAUGGGCGAAAGCCUGAUCCAGCCAUGCCGCGUGUGUGAAGAAGGCCUUCGGGUUGUAAAGCACUUUCAGUGAGGAAGAAAGCCUUGAGGUUAAUACCCUCGAGGGAGGACAUCACUCACAGAAGAAGCACCGGCUAACUCCGUGCCAGCAGCCGCGGUAAUACGGAGGGUGCGAGCGUUAAUCGGAAUUACUGGGCGUAAAGCGCGCGUAGGCGGCUUGAUAAGCCGGUUGUGAAAGCCCCGGGCUCAACCUGGGAACGGCAUCCGGAACUGUCAGGCUAGAGUGCAGGAGAGGAAGGUAGAAUUCCCGGUGUAGCGGUGAAAUGCGUAGAGAUCGGGAGGAAUACCAGUGGCGAAGGCGGCCUUCUGGACUGACACUGACGCUGAGGUGCGAAAGCGUGGGUAGCAAACAGGAUUAGAUACCCUGGUAGUCCACGCCGUAAACGAUGUCGACUAGCCGUUGGGCUCCUUGAGAGCUUUGUGGCGCAGUUAACGCGAUAAGUCGACCGCCUGGGGAGUACGGCCGCAAGGUUAAAACUCAAAUGAAUUGACGGGGGCCCGCACAAGCGGUGGAGCAUGUGGUUUAAUUCGAUGCAACGCGAAGAACCUUACCUACCCUUGACAUCGAGAGAACUUUCCAGAAGAUGGAUUGGUGGCCUUCGGGAAACUCUCAGACAGGUGCUGCAUG